CGGGGAGGUGCAGGGACCUCCUGCCCCAGGCACAGAGCUCACGUUCUGAAUCACACGGGAAGGUAAAGCUCUGCUGAAGGAGCGCUCGGUCGGCACCUGCUGCGGGAAGCCUGCUCCGCCCCAGGUCACGGAGGCGGCCUCCUUCCUCCUAGAUGGGGAUCAGAGUAAAGCAGCAGAGUCUCACCUCGGGUGAGGGUCCUGUGGAGACAGCAGGGUGGGGACAGUUGGGCGCUGUGUGUGGGACCCUUGUGACGUGGGGUGAGGGUCCUGUGGCAGUAGCAGGGUGGGCUGUGUUCUCUGUGAGGACACUGGAGCUGCGACCCAGGCCUGGAUUGAUCCCGGCAGUCAGGAUUGUGGCUGCAAAGGCCCUGAGCUGUGGUCCAUCGGACCCUCCUCCCCGGCUUCCUCCCGGGACCCCUCCUCCACGGCAGUUGGUGGAGGAGGACACGGCCCGUCCCCUGGGUAGUUGGUGGAGGAGGAGGACACGGCCCGUCCCCUGGGUAGUUGGUGGAGGAGAAGGACACGGCCCGUCCCCUGGGCGGUUGAUGGAGCAGGACGCAGUGCGGUCGCUGACGCCGUUAACCGUUUCAGGCGGUGUUUUAGCAUCACGGGAUGAGAUCACACGUCCACCUCGCAGGCUGUGUAGAAACUGAAGCAGGAGACUUUUGAGUUCAGACGCGGAAAGAAGAGCGUCUGCCCCCGGCCAGCAGCCAAAGCAUUCCGACCUUCUACUUCCCCAGAGGACGCCCGCAGGACUCGCUCAACGUGGAUGCCGCCAUCAGCAAGAUCGAGAGCGCCUUCGCCCGCCUCCCCCACGAGAGAGCCACCAUGGACGACAUGGGCCUGGUGGCCAAGGUGCGUGUCCCCCGUGUGACGUGGAGCAGCCGAGGUGGUACUGCGGGCGUGAGAGGGUGAGGCGGGGCGGCCGGGGCAGGUGCGUGUCACACGCGUGAGAGUGAGGUGGGGCGGCCGAGGCAGGUGCAUGUCACACGCGUGAGAGUGAGGUGGGGCGGCCGAGACAGGCGCAUGUCACAUGCAUGAGAGUGAGGCGGGGCGGCCGGGGCAGGUGCAUGUCACACGCGUGAGAGUGAGGUGGGGCGGCCGAGGCAGGCGCAUGUCACAUGCGUGAGAGUGAGAGUGAGGUGGGGCGGCCGAGGCAGGUGCAUGUCACACGCGUGAGAGUGAGGUGGGGCGGCCGGGGCAGGUGCGUGUCACACGCGUGAGAGUGAGGAGGUGGGGCGGCCGAGGCAGGUGCGUGUCACACGCGUGAGAGUGAGGUGGGGCGGCCGAGGCAGGUGCCACCGGCGUGUGAGGGUGAGGUGGAGAGGCUGGAGCGGCCGAGGUGGGUGUGUGUCACACGGGCAUGAAUGAGGCCAGCGGCCGAGGCGGGUGCGUGUCACGUGUGCGGGAGUGGCCCAGGUUUCCUCUGAGGUUACAGUUGUGGCCUGAGGUUUGCUGUCUGGUCGCUGCUGUGUGAAUUCUUAAGCAUCUGAAACUCAAGUGGGAAUUCCGUCUGCAUUCUCGUCCUGAGGCCGUUCAGCACCCUUCUGGCCGUGCCCCUUUCUGCCCGAGGAGCCGCCGUCCCAGGCUGGGCGGCUGUGGACCCCUGUCCCCCGGCAGUGGCCCCGAGGGCCCAUUUCUGGACUCACCCUGAGUGCUGCGGCGCCAUGUUCGUCAUUUGCCGCCUGCUUUCCUUCUCAGCUGCCUGCUUUCCAGGCUGCCUGCGUGGACGUCCGCAGAUCGGGCACGCUCGGUUUAGUGUCUGUGUGUUACCAAGGCAAGGCUCACUCCAGGGAUGUGCGUCUGGACCCCUGGUGGGCGAUUGUGUUUCCAGGGACCCGGGCCCACCUCUCCAGCGUC
rnacentral:lncRNA from 10 species